rnacentral:rRNA from 1 species
CUUAGUGGCGGACGGGUGAGUAACGCGUGAGCAACCUGCCUUUCAGAGGGGGAUAACAUUUGGAAACAGAUGCUAAUACCGCAUAAGAUUACAGUACCGCAUGAUACAGUGAUCAAAGGAGCAAUCCGCUGAAAGAUGGGCUCGCGUCCGAUUAGAUAGUUGGUGAGGUAACGGCUCACCAAGUCGACGAUCGGUAGCCGGACUGAGAGGUUGAACGGCCACAUUGGGACUGAGACACGGCCCAGACUCCUACGGGAGGCAGCAGUGGGGAAUAUUGCACAAUGGGCGAAAGCCUGAUGCAGCAACGCCGCGUGAGGGAAGACGGUUUUCGGAUUGUAAACCUCUGUUUUCGGUGACGAACAAAUGACGGUAACCGAGUAGGAAGCCACGGCUAACUACGUGCCAGCAGCCGCGGUAAUACGUAGGUGGCAAGCGUUAUCCGGAAUUACUGGGUGUAAAGGGAGCGCAGGCGGGAUAGCAAGUCAGCUGUGAAAACUAUGGGCUCAACCCAUAAACUGCAGUUGAAACUGUUAUUCUUGAGUGGAGUAGAGGCAAGCGGAAUUCCGAGUGUAGCGGUGAAAUGCGUAGAUAUUCGGAGGAACACCAGUGGCGAAGGCGGCUUGCUGGGCUCUAACUGACGCUGAGGCUCGAAAGUGUGGGGAGCAAACAGGAUUAGAUACCCUGGUAGUCCACACUGUAAACGAUGAUUGCUAGGUGUGGGGGGUCUGACCCCCUCCGUGCCGGAGUUAACGCAAUAAGCAAUCCACCUGGGGAGUACGGCCGCAAGGUUGAAACUCAAAGGA